rnacentral:misc_RNA from 1 species
UAGCAAUAUGUCCUCCAUCAUCACUGUUUGCGAAGAAUAUUUUCUUCACAUACUUAACCUUAUUGAUAAGGGUAGGUAGUGUCUGAAACAGAGAAUUCGAGGAAAGGUAGCGAGCUAAGUGUGUUGCGGAAGAGAGAGUGAGGCCAAUGCUCUCCAAGAAGGGAAGCAUACCCUUAUCACCUUUUUGUUUUGCCAUCAGGUAGACCUUGCUCUUGAAAGGUGGAAUUGCAGGAACCGGG